GGGUGCUUAGCUCAGGGGCAGAGCGUCUGCUCGACACGCAGAAGGUCGGUGGUUCAAAUCCUCCAGCACCCAC
rnacentral:tRNA from 1 species